CCUACGGGAGGCUGCAGUGAGGAAUAUUGGUCAAUGGACGCAAGUCUGAACCAGCCAUGCCGCGUGCAGGAAGACGGCUCUAUGAAUUGUAAACUUCUUUUAUACGGGGGUAAACGGUGAGACGCGUAUCUGUCUGAAAGUAUCGUACGAAUAAGGAUCGGCUAACUCCGUGCCAGCAGCCGCGGUAAUACGGAGGAUUCAAGCGUUAUCCGGAUUUAUUGGGUUUAAAGGGUGCGUAGGCGGGCGGAUAAGUUAGAGGUGAAAGGCCGGGGCUCAACCUUGGAAUUGCCUGUGAAACUGUGGGGCGAGAGUAUAGUUGAGGCAGGCGGAAUGCAUGGUGUAGCGGUGAAAUGCUUAGAGAUCACACAGAACACCGAUUGCGAAGGCAGCCUGCCAAGCUACGUCUGACGUUGAGGCACGAAAGCGUGGGGAGCAAACAGGAUUAGAUACCCCUGUAGUC
rnacentral:rRNA from 1 species